UUAAGUUCAGCGGGUAAUCUUAUCUGAUUCGAGAUUAAAGGUGAAAGGCUCAAGGCCUUUAUGCCCCUCGGUCCUAGAGUUUGCUUCGACACAGCACAAGACUACGUUCCCAAGGCUCAUUUUGAACAAGUCAAGGGAACAGAGAUGUCUUAGACGCUCUCAAACUCUUUCAUUCAAAGUGACAGUCUGCGAAAGCGGCC
rnacentral:misc_RNA from 1 species